rnacentral:rRNA from 1 species
CUACGAGGGGUGCAAGCGUUAAUCGGAAUUACUGGGCGUAAAGCGUUCGUAGGCGGUUUGUUAAGCAAGAUGUGAAAGCCCUGGGCUCAACCUGGGAACUGCAUUUUGAACUGGCAAGCUAGAAUACUGUAGAGGGUGGUGGAAUUUCCAGUGUAGCGGUGAAAUGCGUAGAGAUUGGAAGGAACAUCAGUGGCGAAGGCGGCCACCUGGACAGAUAUUGACGCUGAGGAACGAAAGCGUGGGGAGCGAACAGGAUUAGAAACCCUUGUAGUCC